rnacentral:rRNA from 1 species
AGAUUAAGUUAUUAAGGGCGCACGGUGGAUGCCUUGGCACUAGAAGCCGAUGAAGGACGUUACUAACGACGAUAUGCUUUGGAGAGCUGUAAGUAAGCGUUGAUCCAGAGAUUUCCGAAUGGGGAAACCCAGCAUGAGUUAUGUCAUGUUAUCGAUAUGUGAAUACAUAGCAUAUCAGAAGGCAGACCCGGAGAACUGAAACAUCUUAGUACCCGGAGGAAGAGAAAGAAAAAUCGAUUCCCUGAGUAGCGGCGAGCGAAACGGGAAGAGCCCAAACCAACAAGCUUGCUUGUUGGGGUUGUAGGACACUCUAUACGGAGUUACAAAAGUAUAUAUUAGACGAAUCAUCUGGAAAGUUGAAUCAAAGAAGGUAAUAAUCCUGUAGUCGAAAAUAUAUACUCUCUUGAGUGGAUCCUGAGUACGACGGAGCACGUGAAAUUCCGUCGGAAUCUGGGAGGACCAUCUCCUAAGGCUAAAUACUCUCUAGUGACCGAUAGUGAACCAGUACCGUGAGGGAAAGGUGAAAAGUACCCCGGAAGGGGAGUGAAAAAGAACUUGAAACCGUGUGCUUACAAGUAGUCAGAGCCCGUUAAUGGGUGAUGGCGUGCCUUUUGUAGAAUGAACCGGCGAGUUACGAUUUGAUGCAAGGUUAAGCAGCUAAUGUGGAGCCGUAGCGAAAGCGAGUCUGAAUAGGGCGUUUAGUAUUUGGUCGUAGACCCGAAACCAGGUGAUCUACCCUUGGUCAGGUUGAAGUUCAGGUAACACUGAAUGGAGGACCGAACCGACUUACGUUGAAAAGUGAGCGGAUGAACUGAGGGUAGCGGAGAAAUUCCAAUCGAACUUGGAGAUAGCUGGUUCUCUCCGAAAUAGCUUUAGGGCUAGCCUCAAGUGAUGAUUAUUGGAGGUAGAGCACUGUUUGGACGAGGGGCCCUUCUCGGGUUACCGAAUUCAGACAAACUCCGAAUGCCAAUUAAUUUAACUUGGGAGUCAGAACAUGGGUGAUAAGGUCCGUGUUCGAAAGGGAAACAGCCCAGACCACCAGCUAAGGUCCCAAAAUAUAUGUUAAGUGGAAAAGGAUGUGGCGUUGCCCAGACAACUAGGAUGUUGGCUUAGAAGCAGCCAUCAUUUAAAGAGUGCGUAAUAGCUCACUAGUCGAGUGACACUGCGCCGAAAAUGUACCGGGGCUAAACAUAUUACCGAAGCUGUGGAUUGUCCGUAGGACAAUGGUAGGAGAGCGUUCUAAGGGCGUCGAAGCAUGAUCGCAAGGACAUGUGGAGCGCUUAGAAGUGAGAAUGCCGGUGUGAGUAGCGAAAGACGGGUGAGAAUCCCGUCCACCGAUUGACUAAGGUUUCCAGAGGAAGGCUCGUCCGCUCUGGGUUAGUCGGGUCCUAAGCUGAGGCCGACAGGCGUAGGCGAUGGAUAACAGGUUGAUAUUCCUGUACCACCUAGUAUCGUUUUAAUCGAUGGGGGGACGCAGUAGGAUAGGCGAAGCGUGCUAUUGGAUUGCACGUCCAAGCAGUAAGACUGAGUGUUAGGCAAAUCCGGCACUCAUAAGGUCAAGCUGUGAUGGGGAGAGGAAAUUAUUUCCUCGAGUCGUUGAUUUCACACUGCCAAGAAAAGCCUCUAGAUAGAUAACAGGUGCCCGUACCGCAAACCGACACAGGUAGUCAAGAUGAGAAUUCUAAGGUGAGCGAGCGAACUCUCGUUAAGGAACUCGGCAAAAUGACCCCGUAACUUCGGGAGAAGGGGUGCUCUUUAGGGUUAAC